GACGAACGCUGGCGGCGUGCUUAACACAUGCAAGUCGAACGGAAAGGCCCUGCUUUUGUGGGGUGCUCGAGUGGCGAACGGGUGAGUAACACGUGAGUAACCUGCCCUUGACUUUGGUAUAACUUCAGGAAACUGGGGCUAAUACCGGAUAGGAGCUCCUGCUGCAUGGUGGGGGUUGGAAAGUUUCGGCGGUUGGGGAUGGACUCGCGGCUUAUCAGCUUGUUGGUGGGGUAGUGGCUUACCAAGGCUUUGACGGGUAGCCGGCCUGAGAGGGUGACCGGCCACAUUGGGACUGAGAUACGGCCCAGACUCGUACGGGAGGCAGCAGUGGGGAAUAUUGCACAAUGGGCGGAAGCCUGAUGCAGCAACGCCGCGUGCGGGAUGACGGCCUUCGGGUUGUAAACCGCUUUCGCCUGUGACGAAGCGUGAGUGACGGUAAUGGGUAAAGAAGCACCGGCUAACUACGUG
rnacentral:rRNA from 1 species